rnacentral:rRNA from 1 species
UACGAAGGGGGGCUAGCGUUGCUCGGAAUUACUGGGCGUAAAGGGGAGCGUAGGCGGGUUAUCAAGUUGGAGGUGAAAGCCCAGGGCUCAACCUUGGAAUUGCCUUCAAAACUGAUAGCCUAGAGUAUGGAAGAGGUAAGUGGAACUCCGAGUGUAGAGGUGAAAUUCGUAGAUAUUCGGAAGAACACCAGUGGCGAAGGCGGCUCACUGGAGCCCGUUUGUUGACGCUGAGGUGCGAAAGCGUGGGGAGCAAACAGG